rnacentral:ncRNA from 1 species
UGAGAUAGAGGAUGCGCCUCAGUGAUCAGUAAUUUCUUCAGACAGGCCCUGCAGGACCGGAGGGACGAAAGGCACGGGCGCCGAAGACGGUAUUCGCUGCAGAGUUUUCCGGGCUGGGAGGCAGAAAUAAGAUUCUGUCGACUGUCGCAUAGUUUUUAUGCGGAGAGCUAUCC